CAACAGGGAUUGCCCUAGUAACGGCGAGUGAAGCGGCAACAGCUCAAAUUUGAAAUCUGGCGCAAGCCCGAGUUGUAAUUUGUAGAGGAUGCUUCUAGGUAGCGACCGGUCUAAGUUCCUUGGAACAGGACGUCAUAGAGGGUGAGAAUCCCGUAUGUGACCGGCCCGCACCUUCUACGUAGCUCCUUCGAAGAGUCGAGUUGUUUGGGAAUGCAGCUCUAAAUGGGAGGUAAAUUUCUUCUAAAGCUAAAUACCGGCCAGAGACCGAUAGCGCACAAGUAGAGUGAUCGAAAGAUGAAAAGCACUUUGGAAAGAGAGUUAAAAAGCACGUGAAAUUGUUGAAAGGGAAGCGCUUACAACCAGACUUCUGGGCGGUGUUCCGCCGGUCUUUUGACCGGUCUACUCUCCGUCCCGAGGCCAACAUCAUCUGGGACCGCUGGAUAAGACCUUAGGAAUGUAGCUUCCCUCGGGAAGUGUUAUAGCCUCUGGUGAUGCAGCGCGUCUCGGGUGAGGUCCGCGCUUCGGCAAGGAUGUUGGCGUAAUGGUUGUCAGCGGCCCGUCUUGAAACACGGACCAAGGAGUCUAACAUCUAUGCGAGUGUUCGGGUGUCAAACCCCUACGCGUAAUGAAAGUGAACGGAGGUGGGAAGCGCAAGCUGCACCAUCGACCGAUCCUGAUGUCCUCGGAUGGAUUUGAGUAAGAGCAUAGCUGUUGGGACCCGAAAGAUGGUGAACUAUGCCUGAAUAGGGUGAAGCCAGAGGAAACUCUGGUGGAGGCUCGCAGCGGUUCUGACGUGCAAAUCGAUCGUCAAAUUUGGGUAUAGGGGCGAAAGACUAAUCGAACCA
rnacentral:rRNA from 1 species